GAAAUGCGAUAAGUAGUGUGAAUUGCAGAAUUCAGUGAAUCAUCGAAUCUUUGAACGCACAUUGCGCUUCCUGGCAGUCCGGGAAGCAUGCCCGUUUCAGAAUCAUAAACCACCCUCAAUGUCGCUUGUGGACCUUGGACAUUGGACAGUUUGAACAACACUUUUCAGAUCAUAUCUGGAGAGUGCAAUUGUCUGAAAAUGAUUGUGCGCGCUCCAGUUUUUUGCUGGGUAGCUCUAAGGUGCAAUAAGAUUUCACGUCUAAUUGACUCUCACCUUGUGGGGGUAUCCAUUGCAUGGCAGGAGUUGUGUACUCCUCUAAUUAAACCAGGGCAUCUCCCUGGUUCAUGGUCUGAAAUCGGGCAAGAGAACCCGCUGAACUUAA
rnacentral:misc_RNA from 1 species